UUAAAGGAAAGUUGACGGGGACCCGCACAAGCAGCGGAGCAUGUGGUUUAAUUCGAAGCAACGCGAAGAACCUUACCAGGUCUUGACAUCCCGAUGCUAUUUCUAGAGAUAGAAAGUUACUUCGGUACAUCGGUGACAGGUGGUGCAUGGUUGUCGUCAGCUCGUGUCGUGAGAUGUUGGGUUAAGUCCCGCAACGAGCGCAACCCCUAUUGUUAGUUGCCAUCAUUAAGUUGGGCACUCUAAAGAGACUGCCGGUGUCAAACCGGAGGAAGGUGGGGAUGACGUCAAGUCCUCAUGGCCUUUAUGACCAGGGCUACACACGUACUACAAUGGCCGGUACAAAGGGCAGCGACACAGCGAUGUGAAGCCAAUCCCGAAAAGCCGGUCUCAGUCCGGAUUGGAGUCUGCAACUCGACUCCAUGAAGUUGGAAUCGCUAGUAAUCGUGGAUCAGCACGCCACGGUCGAAUACGUUCCCGGGCCUU
rnacentral:rRNA from 1 species